UACGUAGGUGGCGAGCGUUGUCCGGAUUUACUGGGCGUAAAGAGCGCGCAGGCGGUCGUUCAAGUCGCGUGUGAAAGCCCCCGGCUCAACUGGGGAGGGUCACGCGAUACUGAUCGACUCGAAGGCAGGAGAGGGUAGUGGAAUUCCCGGUGUAGUGGUGGAAUGCGUAGAUAUCGGGAGGAACACCAGUGGCGAAGGCGACUACCUGGCCUGUUCUUGACGCUGAGGCGCGAAAGCUAGGGGAGCAAACGGG
rnacentral:rRNA from 1 species